CAUGGCGUACUGCUCAGUAACACGUGGAUAACCUGCCCUUGGGUCCGGCAUAACCCCGGGAAACUGGGGAUAAUUCCGGAUAACGCACAUAUGCUGGAAUGCUUUAUGCGUCAAAUGGAUUCGUCUGCCCAAGGAUGGGUCUGCGGCCUAUCAGGUAGUAGUGGGUGUAAUGUACCUACUAGCCGACGACGGGUACGGGUUGUGAGAGCAAGAGCCCGGAGAUGGAUUCUGAGACAUGAAUCCAGGCCCUACGGGGCGCAGCAGGCGCGAAAACUUUACAAUGCGGGAAACCGUGAUAAGGGGACACCGAGUGCCAGCAUCAUAUGCUGGCUGUCCGGGUGUGUAAAAUACACCUGUUAGCAAGGGCCGGGCAAGACCGGUGCCAGCCGCCGCGGUAACACCGGCGGCCCGAGUGGUGAUCGUGAUUAUUGGGUCUAAAGGGUCCGUAGCCGGUUUGGUCAGUCCUCCGGGAAAUCUGACGGCUUA
rnacentral:rRNA from 1 species